GAUGAACGCUAGCGGCAGGCUUAAUACAUGCAAGUCGUGGGGCAGCAGGACUGUAGCCAUACCGUUGCUGGCGACCGGCAAACGGGUGCGGAACACGUACGCAACUUACCCUGAACUGGGGGAUAGCCCGGGGAAACCCGGAUUAAUACCCCGUAAUAUAAUGGAGUGGCAUCACUUUAUUAUUCAAGCUCCGGCGGUUCGGGAUGGGCGUGCGGCUGAUUAGGUAGUUGGUUGAGGUAACGGCUCACCAAGCCUACGAUCAGUAACUGGUGGGAGAGCAAGACAAAUUAGACGGGCACUGCGACACGGGCCCGACUCCUACGGGAGGCAGCAGUAAGGAAGAUUGGGCAAUGGAGGCAACUCUGACCCAGCCAUGCCGCGUGGAGGAUGAAGGCCCUCUGGGUUGUAAACUUCUUUUAUAGGGGACGAAACCUGUGUAUUCUUACGCAGUUGACGGUACCCUAGGAAUAAGCACCGGCUAACUCCGUG
rnacentral:rRNA from 1 species